rnacentral:rRNA from 1 species
UACGUAGGGUGCGAGCGUUAAUCGGAAUUACUGGGCGUAAAGCGUGCGCAGGCGGUUGUGUAAGACAGGCGUGAAAUCCCUGGGCUCAACCUAGGAAUGGCGCCUGUGACUGCACGGCUAGAGUGCGGCAGAGGGGGAUGGAAUUCCGCGUGUAGCAGUGAAAUGCGUAGAUAUGCGGAGGAACACCGAUGGCGAAGGCAGCCUCCUGGGAUAACACUGACGCUCAUGCACGAAAGCGUGGGGAGCAAACAGG